rnacentral:lncRNA from 1 species
CCUUGGCAGCGCUGCAGUAGAAUUCCUGUGACAGAAUAAGACCCUGACUCCAGGGGCUCUGGUCCACACACUUGCGGCAGGGACAGCAGCUCUCAACUGGGCUUUUGUGGCUCUCAGGAGCCUGGGUCUCACUACUGUCAUGGGGAGCUGGAGCAAGAGAGGAGGUUUCCUAGUUAGCUCCAGCUGCUGUAACCAAAUACCACAGACUGGGUGGCUUACACUCAGACACUUAAUUCUCACUGUCUGGAGGUGGAAAGUCCAAGAUUGAGAGUCGCACUCUAUCACCCAGGCUGGAGUGCAGUGGAGCAGUCUCAGCUCACUACAACAUCUGUCUCCUGGGUUCAAGCGGAUUUUCCUGCCUCGGCCUCCCAGCCAUGUUAUAACACAACAAGAAGGCCCUCACCAGAUGCAGCCCAUUGGACUUCUCAGCCUCCAAAAUGGACAAUAAAAUAAUUCAAUAUGGGGAUCUCUGUUUUAUGCUAUUGAACAAUUAAGAAAUUAUCUCAUACAGAUGUUCGUAUGAUUUGACUCAAUAAUCCCACACCUAAGGUUAGUUACUAAAUAAAUAAAUCCAUAGACAUAAAAAUUCUCUCUUCCCUUCACUGCUUGGUCAUAAUGGUGUUAUUUACAAUAGAGGGAAACUCAACUCAACUUGUAAGCUAACAAAGUGGAAACUAUCCAAAUAUUUAACAUAAUAGAAAUGCUUUAAU